UCAGCGGUUCGAUCCCGCUCAGCUCCACCAAAUCGAUUGGUGUCGAGACUGACGGCAACGAAGCGUAGCGCAAGGCGCCUCGCCAAUCGUUUGGCGCCUUCGGCGCGUGAGCGACAAGAAUUGUCUUCUGAAGAAAAACAAAGUUUGCAUCGUUUUGACGAUGCCUGUUCUGCAUAUAUCGUGAAGAGAAGAUUGAUCUGGAGGCUUCCAGGUGUUUUGGGUUUUGGCCCAGGGCGUCCGAAGCCGGUUCCAAUGAUGUCGUUGAUGGUCUAGCCGACUGGAAACGAAAGAGGAGCCGGAAGUAGGAAGGAAGCUUGUCCCGAGGCAUUGUUGUUGUUUGAAGGCUUUGGCUUUYAUCUGACCGACGGUGCUGGAUUGGCGUUGCCUGACCGCGCGCCACCGGAUUUGAUCUCGAGAAGCUGGUCUUAAGACAGACUGCAAGCGAGCUGCUCGGCGUAGCUCCAAUAAAGCAGAUCUGUCGAACACGUCGAUGGCAUCAUUAGAAAGCGUGAUUGUAAAAGGUAAUCACGCAUUGUUGGUCUUYGGAUUUGAUUGCGGCAACUGAAAAGUUGUCCGGAUGAUCAGAUUUGGCACCGCCGCGAGAGCGCAAGCCCGAGCGGAUAAGGUUUGCCAAAUCCAACAAAGAUGAUGAGCAUUGGCAAUGAGAACGAUUAAGUGUCGUAAGGGCAUUUGGUGGAUGCCUUGGCAUGCACAGGCGAUGAAGGACGUGAUACGCUGCGAUAAGCCGU
rnacentral:misc_RNA from 1 species